CCGGAGUGGACGAACCUCUGGUGUACCGGUUGUCACGCCAGUGGCAUCGCCGGGUAGCUAUGUUCGGAAGAGAUAACCGCUGAAAGCAUCUAAGCGGGAAACUCGCCUUAAGAUGAGAUAUCCCUGGGGACUAGAUCCCCUUGAAGGGUCGUUCGAGACCAGGACGUUGAUAGGUCAGGUGUGUAAGCGCAGUAAUGCGUUCAGCUAACUGAUACUAAUUGCCCGUAAGGCUUGAUCCUAUAACA
rnacentral:rRNA from 3 species